CCACAUGGGUACAACGUGUGAAGCUAAUUUCUGGUGUCCCUUACUUACUCACUUCACAUUACUGCUGUGCAGUCAGUUGAUUGUGGGGUUGAGUAACACAGCAUGACAUCACACUAUUGCAAUAAACCUAAAUCAAUCCAACCCUCAUCUUGAAUAAACUGACAGAGAAACGGAAUAUUAAACACUUUUUAAACAGGGACGGAAUAUUCAAAAGAAUGGACAGGAAAGUUUAUGAUGAUUGAACAUGACUUUCUUUGUUAUUGGGUAAGAUGAGCAGCCUUGCCUUGAGGAGUUACCUCCCUUCCUGAGGAAUUCUGAAAUUCAUCGAUAUUUAUGAUGUUCAGUCAACCCAUUGACAUUAGUGUAAUGUUUUGAUUGUGUGGGUAUCAUUUUUAUCUCUGCUUUCUCUGAUUCUCUUGAAGUGUAAAACAAACAUAUUGAAUAAUUGCAUGUUGUACAGUUAGGAAUAUUCUUGAUUGUGUAAAUAAGAUUGUAUCAAUGUAAACAUUAUCACUUUUAUCAUAAUGGAUCUCUGAGGUGCACUGUUUGGAUUUGAUACAAUGGACUAUUUUUUUAUAAUCUUUAUGUACAUAAAAUACUCAAUAUUUGAUAAUGAUCAGCUUUGAUGUCUCAAAACAGAAACCAAAAGUGCUUGCAUAGUUUACAUCCUGAAUAAUCUUCACUCUACUUGAUAAUCAGGUUUUGAUAAUAAAGUGUAAUUGAACAA